rnacentral:rRNA from 1 species
AUUGAACGCUGGCGGCAGGCCUAACACAUGCAAGUCGAGCCGAUGAAGGGAGCUUGCUCCUGGAUUCAGCGGCGGACGGGUGAGUAAUGCCUAGGAAUCUGCCUGGUAGUGGGGGAUAACGUCCGGAAACGGGCGCUAAUACCGCAUACGUCCUGAGGGAGAAAGUGGGGGAUCUUCGGACCUCACGCUAUCAGAUGGGCCUAGGUCGGAUUAGCUAGUUGGUGGGGUAAAGGCCUACCAAGGCGACGAUCCGUAACUGGUCUGAGAGGAUGAUCAGUCACACUGGAACUGAGACACGGUCCAGACUCCUACGGGAGGCAGCAGUGGGGAAUAUUGGACAAUGGGCGAAAGCCUGAUCCAGCCAUGCCGCGUGUGUGAAGAAGGUCUUCGGAUUGUAAAGCACUUUAAGUUGGGAGGAAGGGCAGUAAGUUAAUACCUUGCUGUUUUGACGUUACCAACAGAAUAAGCACCGGCUAACUUCGUG